UACGGGGGGAGCAAGCGUUGUUCGGAUUUACUGGGCGUAAAGGGCGCGUAGGCGGCCUCCGCAAGUCAGUUGUGAAAUCUCCGAGCUUAACUCGGAAAGGUCAACUGAUACUGCGGGGCUAGAGUGCGGAAGGGGCAACUGGAAUUCCUGGUGUAGCGGUGAAAUGCGCAGAUAUCAGGAGGAACACCGGUGGCGAAGGCGGGUCUCUGGGCAACAACUGACGCUGAGGAGCGAAAGCGUGGGGAGCGAACAGG
rnacentral:rRNA from 1 species